CCAUGGUGGUUGCAAUCAUCACGGUUGAUGCUGCUUUGAGAUUCCCAUUAUGGGUUGGUCCAAACUUUCCCACUAUACUUUUCUCUAUUUAGUGGAUGUGUUUGAGAUUUCCUCUUUAAACCGAGUUGGGACCCGUUUGCUGCACCGGCCAGCGCUAGGCCUGCCCCCUUCCAUAGCGCUCUGCCCGAGAAUCCCUCUACAGAGUCUCAUGAGAGCUUCGCUUGAGUGCCCAGUUAGCGAAAGGUUCGGCACCCAUCUCUUCUCCCGUUUUAGACUGCUCAAUUCCCAUGGAUCCCGUUUAUCCCGUUUUAUCUGUGAUUGCGGCGAACCCCGAUCGAGGCAAACCACCCCUCUCUCUCUUGGUUCAUCCCAAAUCGCUGCCAUCGUCUCUCUCAUUAUGAUGCUCACGAUCCAGAUCAACCCUCGACCUAACCUCUCAUGCCUUCCUCUAACGCCGCCGACGGUCCUCCUUCCCCGUGCUUUCUUGUCCUGCGGGAGCUGCACAACGGAGCUAUCUCCCCGGCCACCGUAUGGCCUCCCGCCGCUGCACUGGGUGGAGAAGGAGGGGCUGAAUCGCCAAGGAAGGUGACGACACCGUUGCAUCUGCAGCAAGCUGCGCCUCCUCUCACCUUCAUCUCGCGAUGCGGCCGGCCAGGGAGAGGGCUGCCAUGGGCUAUGGCGGGGGGUAGGAGGCCGUGAGGGGCUGGAGCCUGGAGCUCGUCGCCCUAGGAAACGAGGCGAUCCCGGGCCUCCACCGCCGCCCUAGGAGGCAGAGGUCUGAAGAAGAUGGAAGAAGGGGAGUCCGCCACUCGUCUUCUCCCCUGAGCUGAGCUGAGUUCUUGCCGUGCCGGAUUUGGUUACCCUGCUUCUCUUUGCUCGGCAGGUAACCUGUACCCAUCCUUUGCACCCAUGAUUUAAACGCUUUUCUCUUCUUCUGUCUUUUCAGGGUUAAUUUCCCUUCUUUAUAAGCAACUGCUGCGAAUUGAAGUUUUCCGGCCAUUGUGGAAAUGCGGUCUUCCAAUCGGUCUGGCAGUCGAGGAUUUCUUUGGUAGUAAAAUAGAUUAAAAUUUGCUUUUGAGCUGUUGGGAUAGAAGUGAGCUGGAGCUGGAAUGCAAGCUAAAAGGACAUGUUCACAGGCACCUCAUCAGAUUUUUCUAAGCAAGGAUUUGGAGUUCUAACUUCGUUACUUCCUCAUCUUAUCCACACCAAACCAGACCAUGGACCCCAAUGGCAAUGUAAUACAGGCGUGCUGCCAUCAUUUAUUCCAAGGGGCGCCUGGUGAUUCAGAGUCUACGCCGACGAGCUGAUGCAUCCGGCAUGUCAGCUAUAUCUACUUGAUUAUUUUUCUAUUUGUGUUACAAACAAUAUGGUAUUGUAUUAUGAACCAUUAACACAUACUUUGUUUUCUUUUCUGUUUUGAUUGGUUUCAGCGCUGUGCUAGGCCAUCGUCAUAUAUAGCCAUCUGGUGCUGUGUGUGGCCCUGGCAGGUGUCCAAAGUCUAUGUCACAUGGUGGGCCUAGCCAGUACAACGUAGUAGUAUUAUAUGAUGCUCGUAGAGCUGUUGUUUUAAAUGUUGAUUCAGUUUGAAUUUCCCGUUACGCCAAAUAGAGACACGAAGAGAGCCAUCCAUCACUCACAGAGACACCAAGAGAGCCAUCCAUCACUCCUGUGAGGGUUCACCAGACUGACAUGGAGCUAAAAGACAACCACACUGCCCCGGAUUUCAUGGAAAGGCUGCACCGCAUGCAGCAGUGAAGGUCAGAGUAGGUUGCCUAAUUAGGUACCGUGUAAGAAGAAAGACAGCUGCAUGCUUUGCCUUUUUAAUACAGCGAACUGUAGAAACUAAAGAAUCUAGCUCCUUUUCUAGCCAAAGGUACGGAUCUCAAUGCGAAUGAGUGGUUCUGAUUACACCC